CCAUAGCCCUAAUAGAAGUGAAAAUCUUUUUGUGCCGGUGAUCGGCACAAAAAAUUGUAACGGAUAGCAGGAAAUAGC
rfam:Flavobacterium sp. ov086 genome assembly, contig: Ga0070134_104